AAAGUGAACAGGAAACUUGGGAAAGCCAGAUGUGGUGGUUGGUGAUUUGUCAAAUAUUUACCAGCUGAUGGAAUGCCACACAGCAACAAGCACACACAGCUAAAGACACUGGAUGACCCUAGGAGAGGUCCACUCUCCUAACUACAUCAAGCAGGCAACAAAACCGUGCACGGGGAUCCUCUACCACACAACGCACACACUCCACCCAAGCUCUCCUGGAGUGAGGUGAGAAGGCCCCACAAGCAGCCACAGCCACUAUGCUGAUCACCAGGGCAGUAGACACAGUUCCUCUGCCAGGUUGCCCACCCUCGCUCCUCUUCUACUCAUGAGGCACCCCUUUGCCUGGUCCUGCCAUGCCCCCAGGGAAGACGCAGAAGUGUCCGAGAUCCUUGCUGUAAGGCCACAUGGGCAUGUGAGAAGAGCAGGACCAGAUCCCGCAGAAGGACUGGGGCAUCCUUGUUCCUGGAGGGCCAAAUGAGGAACCCAGAAAGCCUCCAUCCUUCCCUCAGUGGCAAGUGGCUCUGGGGAAGGGCAAAGAGUAAGGGCUUUGGAGUUGGGGACAAGUGGAUUCAAAUCCAGCUCCAGCUCCAGCAUGAAAUAAUUCAUGACCCCAGAUUAUUUAGCCCAAGCCUCUACUUUUGCAACUUUAAUAAUAAUGCCGUCUUCCUCAUGGUUCUGUAUGCAGUGACACAAAUGAUGUCCAAGAUAUAUUAAGCUAAAAAAAUUCCGAGCUGGGCUGGGUUGUGGCUCAGCGGCAGAGCACUUGCCUAGCAUGUGCAAAGCCCUGGGUUCGAUCCUCAGCACCACAUAAAAUAAACAAAUAAAAUAAA